rnacentral:rRNA from 1 species
UACGUAGGGGGCAAGCGUUGUCCGGAAUCAUUGGGCGUAAAGAGCGCGUAGGCGGCCCUGUAAGUCCGCUGUGAAAGUCAAGGGCUCAACCCUUGGAUGCCGGUGGAUACUGCAGGGCUAGAGUCCGGAAGAGGCGAGUGGAAUUCCUGGUGUAGCGGUGAAAUGCGCAGAUAUCAGGAGGAACACCGAUGGCGAAGGCAGCCUUCUGGGCCAACACUGACGCUCAUGCACGAAAGCGUGGGGAGCAAACAGG